GAUGAACGCUGGCGGCGUGCCUAAUACAUGCAAGUCGAGCGAACGGACGAGAAGCUUGCUUCUCUGAUGUUAGCGGCGGACGGGUGAGUAACACGUGGAAAACCUACCUAUAAGACUGGGAUAACUUCGGGAAACCGGCGCUAGUACCGGAUGAUAUUUUGAACCGCAUGGUUCAAAAGUGAAAGACGGUCUUGCUGUCACUUCUAGAUGGAUCCGCGCUGCAUUAGCUAGUUGGUAAGGUAACGGGUUACCAAGGCAACGAUGCAUAGCCGAGCUGAGAGGGGGAUCGGCCGCACUGGAGGUGAGACACCGUCCAGGCUCCUACGGGAGGCAGCAGUAGGGAAUCUUCCGCAGUGGGCGAAAGCCUGGCGGAGCAACGCCGCGUGAGUGAUGGAGAUCUUCGGAUCGUAAAACUCUGUUAUUAGGGGAGAACAUAUGUGUAAGUAACUGUGCACAUCUUGACGGUACCUAAUCAGAAAGCCACGGCUAACUACGUG
rnacentral:rRNA from 1 species